GGAGGAAUGGUGAAAUUAGGUAGACACGUCAGAUUUAAGCUCUGAUGGACAAUAUUGUCCAUGUGGGUUCGACUCCCACUUCCUCUA
rnacentral:tRNA from 1 species